CCUCCGAAUUUUUUUUGUCGUGUAGCCGCUCCCCAUCUCAGCGUGUGCUAUCCACGGAAGCCGGCUCCUCCACUCAGGCCCUCUUCUGCAACGCCGACGAGGACGCUAAUUCGUUUGAACCGAUCUUCACGACCACGUGCAGGUAUACACAUGUGCUCCCCUGCCACCCCUGCACUGAUUUAAGGCGAAAUCCAAUUGGGAGUUAUUGAUAGGCACCAAUGUAUUCUUGGUUCAGUUCCCCUGUCUUGAAUUACGUUGAUCCUUUUGGUAAGAUCAAACUGAACAUGCUGAACAUCACUUGCCCAAACAAGUUGAACACCUUGCUACAUUAUUGCCCAAUUUUGUAAAAUUGAUCAUAGCACUCCUGCUAUCAUGUCAUGUUUGCUAAUACUUAUUGAGCCAUAAAACAGUGUUUUCUGUUUAUAAGCUAGCCCUUCUUAUUAUGUUUCAAAAGAUCGACAGUACCCAUUACAUUACUACAAUACAGUGUAAUAUGAGAAACUGAGUUUUGGUUGCCAAGCAAAUGUUUGUGCUAAUUCCCACAAGAAAUUUGUGUUUGAAGAAUUAUUACUUUAUCAGGGAAAUAUCUUUUAUAUGGCUUCAUGAAAUCAGGAAAUUGAUUAAGCGGCAUAGGAAAUUGAUUUAGCACUACCUCAUUAAACAUGAAGACUUAUUCUUGAUUUCGUGUUGAUGUUCCAGAUGGAAUUUUUUUCAUAUGACAUCAGGGAUGUAGGAUGAUUGGGUGAACAAGCUUCAUGUGAAACAUCCAGAUCCCGGUGGCGGUGCCUCCGUUCAGCAUCCCAUGCGGCGACGUCCUCCGGUAUAAUGGCAAACACCGGUAGGGGAGAGAGCAGAGCGGGAGGGGUAUUGGGUCCAUACCAUUGUGGGCAUUGCCAGUGCCAUGAUUGUGGUUAAUACCCACAGGAGAUUCUAUUCCUGUGAGCGGAUUAAACAGAGUUGAGUAAACAUCAUCCAUAGGAGAUACAUGUGCUAAUUAAGUUUAGAGGAGAAAGUGGUUCUUUAUUCUUGUAAUUUUGGUGCAGAUGUCAUACAGGGGGCAGAGAACAAUAGUCUUUUGGGAAUGCCUGUUAACUUUUUGGAGCUACCAGGUAAAUUUUGGUAUGAAUUUAUGUUAGUUCUACCUUUCCAUGAUGUUUAAUUGUUCGGUUCUUAAGGGUUUGUAAGAGGAGAUGGAUUUUGACUACUCUAUUUCGGAAGCCACGGAUCUGCAGAUGAAAAAUAAAAGAGUGUGCAUGGUGUUUUUUUUCUUACAGAAUACUUUUAUAUGCCAUGUUGUAUUUUGCUUCAGGUUUAGGACUAUUUGGUCUGCUACAAAAUCCAUGUUUUCAACUGCAAAAUUUUAGUUUUAUUAUUAUUAUCAUAUUUACUAUUUUUUGGUAGUAAUAUAUAACACGGCGCUGGUGAAAAGCCUACUAAAAAGAUUAAUUAGUCAAUAAUGUUGUCUUAAGAACAGUAGUAUUUGGCUUGAAGUAUAGGCACUGUCAAUUUUUUUUAUGUUCACCACUAUUGCCAUGCGCUCCUAUUUGUUGGUUUUUCCUAUGGCAGUUUGGAGCAAGUGAUUGGCCUAUAAACUAAUUAAUAUUCAAGCUUUCUGAGAAUUUUUUUACUACGAGAUAAGUAGAUUAUCAUUUAACCCACAGCGAAGAUAAAGUAGAUUAUGGUGACCGAGCUGAGCACACGCUGAUUUAGUGCUUCGACCCUUCAUGUUUAUGAUUCACUAAUUCUGGUCCUUCCAUUACUAUUGAACUAAAUUCAAAGUUGUUGCUAUGUCAAUUCGGUUGCCUGCUUGCCAUAGUUUAUCUCCCUAUUUUGUGCCCUGUUGAUUAGCUAAUUGGCAUGAGAAAGAAACAUUAUGCAUCUACAUGUAUCUUAUCUCUCUGAAGUCAUAAAAUUGUAGUGAGAUGCAGUGCCCACGAAAUUGGCAUGUUUAAAUAUAAAAUUGUUUCCUUUAAUGAUGGAUGAGACCUUUUAGCUUAGCUGACAUGUUUUUUGAAUCACACACACACACACACACACACACACACACACACACACACACACAC
rnacentral:lncRNA from 1 species